rnacentral:rRNA from 1 species
CCUACGGGCGGCUGCAGUGGGGAAUAUUGCACAAUGGGCGCAAGCCUGAUGCAGCCAUGCCGCGUGUGUGAAGAAGGCCUUCGGGUUGUAAAGCACUUUCAGCGGGGAGGAAGGCGUUAAGGUUAAUAACCUUGGCGAUUGACGUUACCCGCAGAAGAAGCACCGGCUAACUCCGUGCCAGCAGCCGCGGUAAUACGGAGGGUGCAAGCGUUAAUCGGAAUUACUGGGCGUAAAGCGCACGCAGGCGGUCUGUCAAGUCGGAUGUGAAAUCCCCGGGCUCAACCUGGGAACUGCAUUCGAAACUGGCAGGCUAGAGUCUUGUAGAGGGGGGUAGAAUUCCAGGUGUAGCGGUGAAAUGCGUAGAGAUCUGGAGGAAUACCGGUGGCGAAGGCGCCCCCCUGGACAAAGACUGACGCUCAGGUGCGAAAGCGUGGGGAGCAAACAGGAUUAGAUACCCUAGUAGUC